rnacentral:rRNA from 1 species
UACGAAGGGGGCUAGCGUUGUUCGGAAUUACUGGGCGUAAAGCGCACGUAGGCGGAUAUUUAAGUCAGGGGUGAAAUCCCGGGGCUCAACCCCGGAACUGCCUUUGAUACUGGGUAUCUCGAGUCCGAGAGAGGUGAGUGGGAUUCCGAGUGUAGAGGUGAAAUUCGUAGAUAUUCGGAGGAACACCAGUGGCGAAGGCGGCUCACUGGCUCGGUACUGACGCUGAGGUGCGAAAGCGUGGGGAGCAAACAGG